rnacentral:rRNA from 1 species
UACGGAGGAUGCGAGCGUUGUCCGGAUUUAUUGGGUUUAAAGGGUGCGUAGGCGGUCUGUUAAGUCAGCGGUAAAAUUGCGGGGCUCAACCCCGUCGAGCCGUUGAAACUGGCAGACUUGAGUUGGCGAGAAGUACGCGGAAUGCGCGGUGUAGCGGUGAAAUGCAUAGAUAUCGCGCAGAACUCCGAUUGCGAAGGCAGCGUACCGGCGCCACACUGACGCUGAGGCACGAAAGCGUGGGGAUCGAACAGG